GUGGAACGAGGCGGCGGAGUGGGUGAGUAUCACGUGGGCAACCUGCCUGUAAGAUUGGGAGUAACUCGCGGAAACGUGAGCUAAUACCGAAUGAAGUCUUUCACCACCUGGUGAAAGGAUGAAAGAUGGCUUUUAGCUAUCACUUACAGAUGGGCCCGCGGCGCAUUAGCUAGUUGGUGGGGUAAAGGCCUACCAAGGCGACGAUGCGUAGCCGACCUGAGAGGGUGAUCGGCCACACUGGGACUGAGACACGGCCCAGACUCCUACGGGAGGCAGCAGUAGGGAAUCUUCCGCAAUGGACGAAAGUCUGACGGAGCAACGCCGCGUGAGUGAUGAAGGUCUUCGGAUCGUAAAACUCUGUUGUCAGGGAAGAACAAGUUGUGUUCUAACAGGACAUGACCUUGACGGUACCUGACCAGAAAGCCCCGGCUAACUACGUGCCAGCCGCUGC
rnacentral:rRNA from 1 species